AGCAGCCGCGGUAAUUCCAGCUCCAAUAGCGUAUAUUAAAGUUGUUGCAGUUAAAAAGCUCGUAGUUGAAUUUCGGGGUUUGUCCAUCGGUCGGGCUUUAUUGUCCGUACUGGUGUGAUGAAUUCCUACAUUCUGAAUAACCUUCAUGUCAUUUAUUUGGUGUGUUGUGGAAGCAGAGCUGUUACCUUGAAAAAAUUAGAGUGCUUAAAGCAGGCAAGUGCCUGAAUACAUUAGCAUGGAAUAAUGAAAUAGGACGGCAUGGUUCUAUUUUGUUGGUUUCUAGGAUCACCGUAAUGAUUAAUAGGGAUAGUUGGUGGCAUUAGUAUUCAAUUGUCAGAGGUGAAAUUCUUGGAUUUAUUGAAGACUAACUUCUGCUAAAGCAUUUGCCAAGGAUGUUUUCAUUAAUCAAGAACGAAAGUUAGGGGAUCGAAGACGAUCAGAUACCGUCGUAGUCUUAACCAUAAACUAUGCCGACUAGGGAUCGGACGAUGUUAAUUUUUUAAUGACUCG
rnacentral:rRNA from 1 species